AUAUCAUGAUCUGUUCAUUGAAUCAAAUUUUUCUUAAACCUUUCCCAUGCCUCAUGUAGAGGCUCACUACUCACUUAAUGAAAGUUGGUUAUUUUAUCUCUUAAUUG
rfam:Capsicum annuum cultivar Zunla-1 chromosome 3, whole genome shotgun sequence